GGGGAAUAUUGCACAAUGGGGGAAACCCUGAUGCAGCCAUGCCGCGUGUGUGAAGAAGGCCUUCGGGUUGUAAAGCACUUUCAGUGGGGAGGAAGGGCUGAUGACUAAUAUUCAUCAGCAUUGACGUUACCCACAGAAGAAGCACCGGCUAACUCCGUGCCAGCAGCCGCGGUAAUACGGAGGGUGCAAGCGUUAAUCGGAAUAACUGGGCGUAAAGCGCACGCAGGCGGUUAGAUAAGUCAGAUGUGAAAGCCCCGGGCUCAACCUGGGAACUGCAUUUGAAACUGUCUGACUAGAGUCUUGUAGAGGGGGGUAGAAUUCCAGGUGUAGCGGUGAAAUGCGUAGAGAUCUGGAGGAAUACCGGUGGCGAAGGCGGCCCCCUGGACAAAGACUGACGCUCAGGUGCGAAAGCGUGGGGAGCAAAC
rnacentral:rRNA from 1 species